GAUGAAGAACGUAGCGAAAUGCGAUAAGUAAUGUGAAUUGCAGAAUUCAGUGAAUCAUCGAAUCUUUGAACGCACAUUGCGCCCGCCAGUAUUCUGGCGGGCAUGCCUGUUCGAGCGUCAUUUCAACCAUCAAGCCCCCGGCUUGUGUUGGGGACCUGCGGCUGCCGCAGGCCCUGAAAACCAGUGGCGGGCUCGCUAGUCACUCCGAGCGUAGUAAUACAUCUCGCUCAGGGCGUGCUGCGGGUUCCGGCCGUUAAAAAGCCUUAAUUACCCAAGGUUGACCUCGGAUCAGGUAGGAAGACCCGCUGAACUUAAGCAUAUCAAUAAGCGGAGGA
rnacentral:misc_RNA from 1 species